rnacentral:rRNA from 1 species
AACGCACCUUGCGCUCCCUGGUAUUCCGGGGAGCACGCCUGUUCGAGUGUCGUGAAUACCCCUCAAGCUGGAUGCUUUAUUGUUAUCUUUGCUUGGAUUUGGACUUUGCUGCGCAUGCCUUUGGUGGUGGCGGCUGGUCUUAAAUGCAUUAGCUGAGCCAUGAUUGUAUUUUUGGUUCUACUCGGCGUGAUAAGUUCUGACCGUCGAGGACAUCUGCUUUGGGGCGGAUGGCCAAGAGUACCUUGGAUUGCUUCGAAUCUGUCCGUUGACAAUCUUUCAAUUUUGACCUCGAAUCAGGUGGGACUACCCGCUGAACUUAA